UUAGAACUCGGUUACGUGGUAGCUUCAAAACGAUGGCAGAGUAUGAGUAGAAAGACUCCGCCUUACGCAGCAGCUCCGUCACGGAAUCCAUCUUCUUAAAGAAUCGCUUCCCGAUCUCGUAGGUGGACUUCAGGUUCCUCGGGCAGCAAUCUCCUACACAUUUGUUUUUGAGUUCAUCGUCGCCUUGUUGAACAAUUAUGCUCAGUUCACCAACAAU